AGUUUGAUUCUGGCUCAGGAUGAACGCUGGCGGCGUGCUUAACACAUGCAAGUCGAACGGGCUCAUAUUGAAACCUAGUGAUGUAUGAGUUAGUGGCGGACGGGUGAGUAACGCGUGGAGAACCUGCCGUAUACUGGGGGAUAACACUUAGAAAUAGGUGCUAAUACCGCAUAAGCGCACAGCUUCGCAUGAAGCAGUGUGAAAAACUCCGGUGGUAUACGAUGGAUCCGCGUCUGAUUAGCUGGUUGGCGGGGUAACAGCCCACCAAGGCGACGAUCAGUAGCCGGCCUGAGAGGGUGAACGGCCACAUUGGGACUGAGACACGGCCCAAACUCCUACGGGAGGCAGCAGUGGGGAAUAUUGCACAAUGGGGGAAACCCUGAUGCAGCGACGCCGCGUGAGUGAAGAAGUAUUUCGGUAUGUAAAGCUCUAUCAGCAGGGAAGAAAAUGACGGUACCUGACUAAGAAGCCCCGGCUAACUACGUGCCAGCAGCCGCGGUAAUACGUAGGGGGCAAGCGUUAUCCGGAUUUACUGGGUGUAAAGGGAGCGUAGACGGCAGCGCAAGUCUGAAGUGAAAUCCCAUGGCUUAACCAUGGAACUGCUUUGGAAACUGUGCAACUGGAGUGCACGAGAGGUAAGCGGAAUU
rnacentral:rRNA from 1 species